rnacentral:lncRNA from 10 species
AAAUGCCUGCCUUUGUCACUCUGGCUGACUCGGAUCCCAUGAAGCUGAUGGGUUAGAUGAGUCUGAUCCUGAGAAACACCCCCGGGUGCAGGAAAUAGUGAAAAUCAGAUACGAAGAAGCCACACCUGUGAUUUUAAUCUUUAUGAAAAUAUCAUGCUUCUGAACUUCCUCUUUCAAAAUUCGGAUGACACACAAGUCUAUCGUACGUCAUCUUUACCACUGGAGGGUGGCUUCACGUGUUUAUAAGGAAGCUGAUAUUGUGAAUCCCAACCUCCACCACAACGCUCACCCUUACAGACACACUAUUGCAGGUCUCCGAGGGCCUUUGGGAGGCCCUGCUUCCUGCGAGCUGUCCCGGCAGGACAGAGACUCUUCCCGCCGCGGCCCUGCCAUUCCAGGCUGAGGCUGUGAGCAGCACCAUGACAAGCUCCAGCCGCAGUGGCUCUCAACAGUGUGGGUCUCUGACCACCCGACGAGCUGGAAGUGCAGACCGCUGACCUCCCUUGAGAACCUACUGGGUUCUUGCAGUAGGCUCCUCAGCGGUGUCUAAACACGCCACUCAGAUGAUUCUAUGCACCAUCACAUUGGAAACUUUUUUCAUUGACUGUUACUUAAUGAGAAGACUUCCCUCCGGGAUGGUUCUGAAGCUUCCUUCAUAGGAGCAAGCCUUUGGCGGAGAGCACUGAGCAGACGUGCAGCAUCUUUGCUGGCUUCUACCGAAACACCAUGGAUCCAGACGUGGUUUUGUGGUCCUGCACGUGGAAGCCAGCCCUGCGUGGGGUGAGCCUGGGACUGUGGGCAGAGAACCUCAAGCACCGGGCCGGCACCCAAGUGCAGAGACUGCAUCGUCCCAGCAGGAGGCGCUGCUUCCAGGCUCCCUGGACGGACUCCGGGAGGGCGGCCUUUCCCCCCAGCCCCAGAGGUGGGCCUGCCCUUUUCCGAGCGUGGGACACAGCCCAGGAAAACGCAUGGCUUGUCCUCCAGACACAGGGCGAGUUUGGACGGCAAGACUGAUGGAGAUUGUGGUCUAAAUGCCUCUAACCCACUCCUUAAAAUGACCACCGGAUGUUCCACAAGUACUUGAAAAUGAAUGAAUGGCUUCCCGAGAGGCAGAAGGCAGGGGUGUGCCCUACCCCACGCCGGCCAAGAGUUCAACAAGCAUUGGUUGACAAGUGAAUAGUGAGCACUUGAACCCAGUCACAAUUCAAGAUG